rnacentral:rRNA from 1 species
GAUGAACGCUGGCGGCGUGCUUAACACAUGCAAGUCGAACGAUGAAGCCCAGCUUGCUGGGUGGAUUAGUGGCGAACGGGUGAGUAACACGUGAGUAACCUGCCCUUAACUCUGGGAUAAGCCUGGGAAACUGGGUCUAAUACCGGAUAGGAGCGUCCACCGCAUGGUGGGUGUUGGAAAGAUUUAUCGGUUUUGGAUGUACUCGCGGCCUAUCAGCUUGUUGGUGAGGUAAUGGCUCACCAAGGCGACGACGGGUAGCCGGCCUGGGAGGGUGACCGGCCACACUGGGACUGAGACACGGCCCAGACUCCUACGGGAGGCAGCAGUGGGGAAUAUUGCACAAUGGGCGCAAGCCUGACGCAGCCAUGCCGCGUGAAUGAUGAAGGUCUUAGGAUUGUAAAAUUCUUUCACCGGGGACGAUAAUGACGGUACCCGGAGAAGAAGCCCCGGCUAACUUCGUG